rnacentral:lncRNA from 1 species
AGAUGAACCCCGUGAGAGGUGACAGAGAUGAGUUCUCGUGGGGGUCUGCACUGUGGGGGAAACGCAGGCACACGCCACCUUAUGGAGCCCACUCACUGCCCCAGGAGCAGGUCUCCCUGCUUCCACCGCACACAGGCCAGACUCAGCCCAGCACCCAACGGCUUGGGUUGGAGUCUUGGCCUUAACAGCUCCCAGGCUCCAUGAUCUCAGGCCCCUGAGAAGGGGCCCAUUCUGGCAACUAAAUGAUGGAAUGACGGCAAACGCUUGCACUGCCAGGCCAGCAGAAUCAGUGAGCACCGAGGGCACCUUUAGUGGCAGGGCUGUCCUUCCACACUAGAGGUCCAUGUGGCCAUGUCUAUAGCAGAGGAAGCUGGCUUCAAGAGGCCACGUCAUCUGCUGCAGGACCUCACAAGGGAGCUGGCAGGAGCACAAGGCAGGAGAGUGGAGGUGUCAGGCCACGGGGCUGGGGGCUGAAGACUGGGUCUGACAAGAGCGUGCCAUGUGCCAGCCCCUCUUUCAAGCACUUAAAGCCAUCAGGUCUUUUAAUCGUCAUAACCCAAGGAGGCAAGCACUGUGGUUACUCCCAUCAUGCAGGUGAGGGGCCCAAGUUAUCGAAAGAGUGCGUGGUUGGGCCGCAGUCACAGAUCUGAGCUGGGUGUCUGGCCCCGGCGUCCUGAUGUGUGCUCAUCACCCAGCAAUAAUACUUAGUCCAGCUCCUACCGUCGCUCAGGGGCCCCAGACUGCCGCCAGCACAACCGUGGCUUGGGCUUGUUAAGCCUCCAUCCUGGACCUCCGUCUGGGGACCUCCUACCCCAACACACUGCAUCCAUCAGUGUGGACGGUCCCUCGAGAUGUCCCACCCCCUCCACCUUUGUGUCACUGGGGAUCACAGUGCUGGAUGAGCCUCGGGCAUGGUAGGGGUUGGAGGGGGGAGAAAACACCUCUGACAGCUGGGAAGAUGAAGAGCUCUGACAGCUGGAGGUUCGCCUGUUUCCACACAGGUACCACCCCCAUCCCCUGUCUGCCUGCCGGGGAGCGCUGGUCCCACCUUGGCUCCCACACCUGGUGAUGGGCCGUGCCUUCCUCCAAGGCUCACACAGUGGCCGGGGUCAGGGUGGGAAGGAGAAGCUGGGAGGCUGAAAUGGAACAGAAAGACCCUCUGCACGGCGGUAGGAAGCAUGUGCCCUGCUGCUGACGGUGCAGGCGGGCGCAAGCGGAACCGGCUGGGAGGACUCCAGAUUCUGUAGCGUGUCAGCAUCAGCCGUGGUGGACUGACGCCCUGGCCCCCACCCCACCCCGAUAAACUCCCGUGCUCGGCCACACACAGGAGCACUUGUGUAGCCCUGUGCCUCGCAAGGCUGUUCGGACGUCCACCCUGGGAGAGGGGGGAAGAGAAGGUGCACGCACACCGUUCAGGAAAAGUUGUCCAAAACCCGGAAAUAGGGUGAGAAUUCAGCUCUGCAACCUUAUAAAAUCAUGCUAGAGUGUUAAAAAAACAACACCACCACCCCCUCCCCCCCGAGUUUCCUGUAACUCCUUGCAAAUGAAACUGUGUCGGGCUAACAGUUGUUUGGAGAGGGGUUGGUUCACCACUCCUGCCAAGUCAGAGGUUAACCCGAACACAGCUAGGUGGGUGUGGGGACCAGGUUUAUUCUGUCUGGCAGACGGAGCAGCCAGGUGUGGAGGUUGACCGUCUGGUGCGGCAUGAACCAGUUUUAAGCAGCAGCCCUGCUUCGGCAUCCCUCCCCACCAACCACACAGCCCUGGUUCAUCCAGUCCUAAUCCAACAAGCUCUGCAUCCUGCUGGUCCGUCGUAAAGAAGCCCAAUAAAUCAUCAACCCAGCACUGGUAUCUAUUUGUAUGAGAUUUUUUUAAAAUCAAUAAUUAUGACUUUACUGAAUACUACCUGGAGCUGGAGGCAAUGAGCUAGAAGUAUCCGCAGAAGCAUGACCUCUCCGAAACAUUCCGGGCGGUUACAGCAGCGAGAAUGAAAGAAAGAAAGAUAAUCAGAGCUAUUGCACCACCCCCACCCCACUCACAAAAUGGCACAACAGGUUCCAUAAACGUAGGAAAAAAACCAAGAUACAGUGGGUUCCCCGGGUAACCAGUGAGGAGAUGGAGGUCCACAGACCCGCAGAGAAUCUACCACAAUCCCACAGUCGGCCAGUGAGAUGCAGAGAUGCCUCCUCACGGCCCCUCUCUUGAGUCAGGGCAACGACUGAAGCUUGACUCCCCAAAUCCCUUCUUUUUGGGGCAUGAAGUUGUGAAAACAGGAGUGGGGAAGUGGGGGGCAUUGGGACGACACUGACCUCUGGGUUAUUUACGGGCAGGAGAGGGAGAGGGACCUUAAUCCUAAUCCAGACCCGCAGCCCCAACAAUAACACACCCAUGUCCUUUAGAGGGUUAAUUGUAAUCCCUUGAUUUUGGUCCAAGAUGAGGAGGAACUGAUUGAGGGAGAUGCAGGAAUAUUCAGCACAAUGGACAGAGGUGCUUGCUCGAAGCUGAGCCACGGGAAAGAAGGAUGCCUGUCUCCUGACGCCCCGGAAAUCUCUCUUUACCUCCUUUCUCAGGCAGGAAAGAGAAAUAAAGCUUUCAUGCAAAUGGUUUUCAAACUG